UACAUGGGGGGCAAACGUUGCUCGGAAUCAUUGGGCGUAAAGCGCGCGUAGGCGGUUACUUAAGUCGAAUGUGAAAGCCCUCGGCUUAACUGAGGAAGUGCAUCCGAAACUGAGUAGCUAGAGUACGAAAGAGGGUCGCGGAAUUCCCGGUGUAGAGGUGAAAUUCGUAGAUAUUCGGAAGAACACCAGUGGCGAAGGCGGCUCACUGGCCCGGUACUGACGCUGAGGUGCGAAAGCGUGGGGAGCAAACAGG
rnacentral:rRNA from 1 species